AUGCGGUAUGACGGUACCCUUUCGAAUAAGAGGUUGCUAACUCUGUGCCAGCAGCAGCGGUAAUACAGAGACCUCGAGCGUUAUCCGGAUUUACUGGGCGUAAAGCGUCUGUAGGGGGUUUGUUAAGUUCCAAGUAAAAUCUUAAGGCUCAACUUUAAGUUCGCUUGGAAAACUAAUAAACUGGAGUCCAGCAGAGGUGCAUGGAACUUGCGGUGUAGGAGUGAAAUCCGUUGAUAUCGCAAGGAACACCAAAGGCGAAGGCAUUGCACUGGGCUGGUACUGACCCUGAGAGACGAAAGCGUGGGGAGCAAAACGGAUUAGAUACCCGUGUAGUCCACGCCGUAAACGAUGGAUACUAGAUGUUCGGGGAUUCGACCCCCUGGGUGUCACAGCUAACGCGUUAAGUAUCCCGCCUGGGAAGUACGGCCGUAAGGCUAAAACUCAAAGGAAUAGACGGGGAUCCGCACAAGCGGUGGAGCGUCUGGUUUAAUUUGAUAGUAAGCAAUGGACCUCACCAAGGUUUGACAUCCUAUGACAACCCUGGAAACAGGGCUUCCUUCGGGCAUAGUGACAGGUGCUGCAUGGUCGUCGUCAGUUCGUGCCGUGAGGUGUUCCGUUAAGUCGGCAAACGAACGAAACCCUCGUGGCAUGUUACAAAUUUCAUGCGAGACUGCCCGGGUCAACCGGGAGGAAGGCGGGGAUGACGUCAGAUCAGCAUGGUCCUUAUACCUUG
rnacentral:rRNA from 1 species